UGUGACCCAGGAUCACAGGGUCUGGCUUGGGGUGGAGGACACUCAAGCUCACUGCUGGGAAUGUCCCUUGACACUGAGGCUACAGAAAUAGGAGGAUCAUAGAGACUGGGCAGAGGAUGGAGAGGAUAGUGAGAUCCUGAACCAACAACCAGCUUCCUGGCCACUACUGGUUAUAAACUCCGUCCAGAUCCAGAGGAAUGAAACAUCUGCCUGACCAAGCUGGCCACUACUGGUUAUAAACUCCGCCCAGAUCCAGAGCAAUGAAACAUCUGCCUGACCAAGCUGGCCACUACUGGUUAUAAACUCCGCCCAGAUCCAGAGGAAUGAAACAUCUACCUGACCAAACUGUGCAGGUUGCUUCUGUGACCAGUGGCCACCUUGACCGCGACCCAGACCAGCACAGGUCACAGAUGGAGUAGAUGUUGGAGUGGACCGGGACUUGAAGCACUGGAUCCGGGCCCUGAUGACAGCCAAGUUGGUCAGCCUGCAAGUGGAGCGUCUUCCUCUAUUUCUCUUUUAAUUUGUCCAAGAGAUGGUGGUUUCCUUUACAGA